GCCAGGCGCAGUGGCACAUGCCUGUAAUCCCAGUGGCUUGGGAGGCUGAGGCAGGAGGAUUGCAAAUUCAAAGCCAGCCUCAGCAACAGCGAGGCUCUAAGCAACUCAGUGAGACCCUGUCUCUA
rnacentral:sRNA from 1 species